rnacentral:tRNA from 1 species
GCCGAUGUAGCUCAGCUGGCCAGAGCAGUCCCUUCGUAAGGGAAAGGUCGGCGGUUCGAAUCCGCCCAUCGGCU